AUUACAGACAGGUCAUGAGGAAGGCUAAUGUAAUUCUAGAUUGUCCUAACCACCCUCUGCACUAUGAAUCCGAGCUUUUGCCAUCAGGCCAUUGUUAUCGGGUUGCUACGGGGACGACUAAGAGAUUUUAGAUCUCAUUUAUCUCUAGAGCGAUUCAUUCACUGAAUGGUAAUUAGGCCUCAGGUUGCACAUGUUUUUCUUUGCACUGUUUAUUGUAUUUUUGCACAUCCGCAUUUCUCACUUUUUCACAGUUUACUAAGGCAGUUAUCCUUUGCAGUUUUGGUAUUGUCUCUGGACUGAACAUUAUUUUUUAGUGAUGCUGUGUAUAUGUUUGGUGUUUCUUUUAUUGUGUUGUUUUUUAUCAUGUUUGACUUUUAGACUAUUCUUACUGUAUGUCACCGUAUACCCUGUCUUUGUGUGCUCCGGCUGCAAUACUAAUUUCCCUUUUGGGACAAUAAAGAGAUUCUGAUUCUGAUUUUGUCUUGUGCAUGAAGCCAUUCUCACGCACACCUUUCAACGGCACACCAGUUAUAUUACAAAUUACAACUGUAAAACAAUAAAUCCUUUGUGAGCUAACUGUUAGAAAAGUUCACGUAAGCUACUUUAAACAAUUCUUCUGUUUCUCUGUUAGCUAACUAGCCUAUUUCAAGUUAGUUUUAGCUAAAUUUCCAAACACAUAAGUUACUUUUUACUAUUUUCAUAUUUAUUUGUUAUCAAAACGGGCUAUUUCAAUGUCGAAGCUUUUGGCUAACAACUUUAAUGUUAAUUCACCUAACAUUCACACAUUAACCCUCUUUUAAUAGUUCUUAAAUAUUACUUUGGAGCACAUUUGCGAAUUUUUCUCCACUUUGAAUUCAGCUAAUAUUCUUAAUAUCUUGCUAGUAUACUAACUUGUUCUAAGUACUCUGAAUAAAUUAACACCUAGAUAAAUUUACUUCCUCAAUCUGUCUAUUUUCAAGGUGAAUUAUAAAACUAUAUUUCCAUGUAGGCUCACAAACAUACAUACAAUAUUGUAAUUUUAAGUCAAAGAUGAUGUCUCUGCUAUUCAUACCAGCAGGAACCUGCUGUUACUUCUCUCUUUUCAACUUUCCAUGUAAUCGUUAGUCAGUUAUGAUAUUCAAGUUAGUCAGAGAGCCCAGUGUUCUUGUUAUUCAGCCUCAUUGCUCACUUUCCUUACAGGUUUCCUAAGCGGGGAGGCACACAGCCAACAGGGAAUCCAGUAAAGAUAGGACACAGGACAAGACCAGAGCGAAGUGUGGCCGCACUCCGCCGACACCUUUUAGCCUCCUGAAGGAAAACAGAGCAGAGAGGAAACUGACUGCUGAUGUAGUCAUCUUAUACUCACUACCCGCCUGGACACGAGCUAAAAAUUGUCCUGGAUGCCACGAGGGGAUUCAAACAAAAGAACGGAGAGUGCUGAGCUGAUCAGGAGAGGGCUGGAGUUGAUUCAGCUCCCUGAGUCAAAUCCUGACUGUGAAAUAAAUGAGGCCGGCCGGUGUGAAAAAUGUUCUCUGGAGCCAGAACACAGAGCGAGACUUUCUUUGUCUCAUUGUUUGUGGAUAACUAAACUCUGUGGCUUCUGUUUUUCAAAUUUGUGUGUGUCAUCCAACACUUUUACACAUUAUAAUACUUGCUGUUUGAUUAUGACCUCCAUUAAACAUGACUUAAACUGAUGACCAAGUUAUCACCUUUUAAUUCAAG
rnacentral:lncRNA from 1 species